UUAAUCAUGAAUUAAAAUUGAAGAGCGCUAAACCCCAUGGUUUUUCCGACCUUCGCUCAAAAUUGAAGAACCCUAGACCCCAAUCCACGAACCCUAAACCCCAUCUCUCUCGUAAUCUCGUUUCCUCUAUUUGUUUUCGAUUUCCAUUUGGGAAGGUGAAGAUUAGUUCACCAUUUCACUUCUUUCCAUCAUCAUGGUUCCGAACCUGACCCUGACUGCACCUCACGAAGCUGAAAACCAAAUCGAAAUCUCUCUCAAACAAUCCCUCCAAUCUCUUCAACCUUCCUUAAAACCACCCUUCUCCUUAACCAUUCCAAAUCCCGACGAAUACAUUCAACUCAACCACGCUAUCCUUCACGCCAUUCUCACCCAACCCCAUUUCUCCAAAACCCAUGUCAAACACUUACACGCCAUAAUCACCGACGGUUACGCCACCUUCCUCAACCUCCUCUUCAAUAUCGUCCACCACCUCUACCCCAAACUUCUUGGUUCGGUGAAACAUCAACUUAUUUGGGUCACCGAUGAAAUGAUUCAAGUCUCGGGGAUUGGCUAUGAUGCUUUAUUGAUAUCCCUUUUGAGACAAAUUGUUGGUGGUGAUUUCAGUGAUGAUAAUUUAUGGCUUUGUGAGAAGUUGGUGACACUUUUAUUAGAUAAAUGGGAUUGUUUAUUAGAAGAAAUGCCACAUGUUUUGUGUAGUGGUUUGUACGUGUUUCUUCGAGUUUUGGCUGAUCAUUGUAGGGUGAAUGGUGAAAAGUUUGAGUCUUUGAAGCGUUUGGAGGUUCAUUUCUGUGUGAAGAUAGUGAGGGAAGAGUUUCAUUUAUGUAUGAAAAUUGGGAGGGAUUUUAUUCGGUUGUUGCAGGAUUUGGUUCAUGUUCCUGAGUUUAAGUCUAUAUGGAAGGAUUUAAUGCUGAAUCCAUCUAGUUUUAAUACUUUAGGAUUUAGUGGUGUUUCUCAGAUUUAUUUAACUAGGACUUCGAGUAGGUAUGCUUUGCUUAGGAUCACUCCUGCAAUGGAGACACAAUUGCGGUUUUUGCUUACUCACGUGAAAUUGGGGAAUCAAAAGAGGCAUUUGAUGUGGUUUGCAAGGAAAUUUUUAAACGAGCCUGAUAAAGAGACUGUUGUAGUUGAUAUAGUUAGGUUUAUAUGCUGUGCACACCAUCCACCAAACGAGAUUAUUCAGUCUGAUAUAGUUCCAAGAUGGGCUGUUAUUGGUUGGCUUUUGACAACUUUUAGGAAGAAGAGUUGUGUUGAGGCCAAUGCAAAACUGGCUUUGUUUUAUGAUUGGCUCUUUUUUGAUGAAAAAGUUGAUAAUAUUAUGAACAUAGAACCUGCUAUUUUGUUGAUGGUGCAUUCUAUUACCCAAUAUGUGGAGAUGACCAACACUCUUCUUGAGUUUUUGUUACUUCUUGUUGACAACUAUGAUAUGGAACAUAAGGAUAUCAUUGUUAAAGGUGUCUCAUUGGCUUUUCGAUUUCUUGAAAGCAAAGGUGUGAUUCAGUCGCUUGAUAUUUUGACUUCUUGUCCUACAUUGUCCCCUUCACUAAAAGAGGGCUUGAGUAGGCUAUUAUCAUCUGGAAAGCCUGAAAGCUCCAAAGAAUUUCUUCCAGUACUGAGUCAGCCAGGGCAACAAACGGUAUAAUAUCCGCAAAGUUUAUAUAUCAAACCAUACUUACAUCACCAUUUUUCAAUAAAUAAUGAUCUUAAGGACAAUGUGAAAAAGAAGCUGACUGCUAUAAGAUAAGAAAAUGCUUCUUUGGAGAAAAUACAGAAUUGCUCUAUGCCUUGGGAGUAUUUUGAUAGAACCAACUGUAAGUGUGUUCAAGAACCAACUGCGUUUCUGUAGAUGAAGUGUUCCAUGCCUAAAGAUUGUAACUUUGGGUUGAAAACUGGAGUUUUUGUGGAGGAAUUGUUAAUGGUCAUUGGAUAUUCUUGAUACUUGGGCACCAAUGGGGCCAAAAGGGAAAGUUAAGGACGGAACUGGGAAAAUACUUGCAUGUGAACUCAAGGAUAGGCCAGUUUUUGAAGCGGAUGUGCAGUCUGCCACAGUUUAUUUGUUGGCUAAAGAGAGGGAAAAGUGAGAUGUUUUGGUUGAAAUAUCCUCCUGGUUUUGGUGAUCAUCGGUCGCUGUUAGUGACUCAUUUUGGGAGUUGUAAACCUCCUGGGAAAUUUGGGGAUUACCCUGUUGAGAGAUGCUUGAAGCAGAUGGAUUGAGCAUUCAAAGCUGUUGAGGUAUCAUCUUCUAGCUGAGAUGCUCUUUUCUUCUUAUGCAGUUAACUAGUUGGAAAACUCGUCACAUCUGUGUAUGUUGAUGGAUUUGAAUGAGUUGCAUUAGUUGCAGAAAUAGAAACUUUGACUCCUUAUCAUUAUAUUUAUGGUAGAAAUAGGAAAGCAAGAUAUGCAUUUUGUUGGUUUGAUAUUCAUUUGUAACCUCUCUCUCCCUCUCAGUCUUAAAGCUUCUGAACUUAAAGCUUUUAGAAUUGUAUUUUAACAUAAAUUCAUAUGAAGUAAUGGAAAAGUUUCAUGGUGGCCCAGCAAAUAAAAUCUAUCAUUGUCUAU